GAGUAACGCGUGGACAUCUGCCCUCGGAGCUCGGAUAGCGGUGGGAAACUGCCGGUAAUACGAGACAAUGUCUCCGGACCAAAGGUGUGAUUCCGUCCGAGGAUGAGNUCGCGUAGUAUUAGCUAGUUGGUGUGGUAAUGGCUCACCAAUGCUGUGAUGGGUACCGGGUGUGAGAGCAUGGCCCGGCUCACUGGGACUGAGACACUGCCCAGACACCUACGGGUGGCUGCAGUCGAGAAUCUUCGGCAAUGGGCGCAAGCCUGACCGAGCGACGCCGCGUGCGGGAUGAAGGCCUUCGGGUUGUAAACCGCUGUCAGAGGGGAGGAAAUGCGUGAGGGUUCUCUCUCAUGUUUGACCGAUCCUCAGAGGAAGUACGGGCUAAGUUCGUGCCAGCAGCCGCGGUAAUACGAACCGUACGAACGUUAUUCGGAAUCACUGGGCUUAAAGAGUGCGUAGGCGGCUUGGUAAGUUGGGUGUGAAAUCCCUCGGCUCAACCGAGGAACUGCGCCCAAAACUACUUGGCUUGAGGGAGGCAGAGGUAAGCGGAACUAAUGGUGGAGCGGUGAAAUGCGUUGAUAUCAUUAGGAACACCUGAGGCGAAAGCAGCUUACUGGGCCUCUUCUGACGCUGAGGCACGAAAGCUAGGGGAGCGAACCGGGAUUAGAUACCCCGGUAGUCCUAGCUGUAA
rnacentral:rRNA from 1 species